AGAGUUUGAUCCUGGCUCAGGACGAACGCUGGCGGCGCGCCUAACACAUGCAAGUCGAACGGAGCUUACAGACGGAAGUUUUCGGAUGGAAGGCUGUAAGCUUAGUGGCGGACGGGUGAGUAACACGUGAGCAACCUGCCUAUCAGAGGGGGAUAACGAUUGGAAACGAUCGCUAAUACCGCAUAACAUAGCGGAAUCGCAUGGUUCUGCUAUCAAAGAUUUUAUCGCUGAUAGAUGGGCUCGCGUCCGAUUAGAUAGUUGGUGGGGUAACGGCCCACCAAGUCGACGAUCGGUAGCCGGACUGAGAGGUCGAACGGCCACAUUGGGACUGAGACACGGCCCAGACUCCUACGGGAGGCAGCAGUGGGGGAUAUUGCACAAUGGGGGAAACCCUGAUGCAGCGACGCCGCGUGAGGGAAGACGGUCCUCUGGAUUGUAAACCUCUGUCUUCGGGGACGAAACGAGACGGUACCCGAGGAGGAAGCCACGGCUAACUACGUGCCAGCAGCCGCGGUAAUACGUAGGUGGCAAGCGUUGUCCGGAAUUACUGGGUGUAAAGGGAGCGUAGGCGGGCAGGCAAGUCAGGCGUGAAAUAUAUCGGCUCAACCGGUAACGGCGCUUGAAACUGCAGGUCUUGAGUGAAGUAGAGGUUGGCGGAAUUCCUAGUGUAGCGGUGAAAUGCGUAGAUAUUAGGAGGAACACCAGUGGCGAAGGCGGCCAACUGGGCUUUUACUGACGCUGAGGCUCGAAAGUGUGGGGAGCAAACAGGAUUAGAUACCCUGGUAGUCCACACCGUAAACGAUGAUUACUAGGUGUGGGGGGACUGACCCCUUCCGUGCCGGAGUUAACACAAUAAGUAAUCCACCUGGGGAGUACGGCCGCAAGGUUGAAACUCAAAGGAAUUGACGGGGGCCCGCACAAGCAGUGGAGUAUGUGGUUUAAUUCGACGCAACGCGAAGAACCUUACCAGGUCUUGACAUCGUAUGCAUAGUGUAGAGAUACAUGAAGUCCUUCGGGACAUACAGACAGGUGGUGCAUGGUUGUCGUCAGCUCGUGUCGUGAGAUGUUGGGUUAAGUC
rnacentral:rRNA from 1 species